GCCUUCGUGGUGCAGUGGUCAACACUCUGGGUGCGUAUUCCAGAGGUCUGUGGUUCGAGUCCCGGCGAAGGCG
rnacentral:tRNA from 1 species